CGUCGUGUUUUCAGUCAAAAGCAUAGGAAAAACACCGUUCGAAAGUAGAAAAAUAAAUAUUUUUGCGAAGUUGCUCCACCGAUCUUCAUUUUGGGACUCAAAUUUGAAAGAUAAAUGGUAAGUAGUUAUUUUUAUGUAAAAAGAUAUACGUUUAUAGGCUAAAUACAAAGAAAAAAAACAGUAUAAUCUUUGUACCGCAUGGCCAUAUUUUACAAUGCUUGUGAUGUUCUGCCAAGAAGCAGAUUCCCAUCUCGCUAAAUUAAUGGCCAAACGUAUUGCUUUCCUGUCUUUUACAUUAAUAAGAAAGCAUGGUUGCUGAUUUGAAACACUUCCAUUGCACACUUCCAUCAGGUUCCAUGUAGCUUUGGGAUUUGUGAGCAAAAAUUAAAAGUUAAACUACCUAUGUUUUUAAUACUUUCUGUGCAACUGUUUUAAUAAGCACAUUCACAAAUGUAUUCUCCAGCAAAGAAACGUUUCUUUACGGAUUGUUAAUCCGCCUGCACUGCUUAUGCCUUCAAAGGUCAGAGGUCUUGAACAUGCAGAAUAGCAGGGACUACUGUCAUUGACAUCCUUUGUCACAAAAUUAUGAUGGCAUAUUGGACAGCUAUGUUGGAUAAGGCACUUGCUAAAUAGUCUGACACAUAAGUUAAUGCAGACUAAGUUUUGUUCAAUUUCAUUUGUUUUGUAGUCGGUAUCUUCAACUGCUUGGAUUAGUGGUGGGCUUGUCUGAUCAUUUCCUGCAGAUAAAUCAGAUUGGCUAGGGUGAAAUGCAAUCAAAUAGGCAUCAGAAUCUUCAGCACAGCUGCCAAUUGAAAGUGGUGUCAAAAUAUUAUCUACAAAUAAUUUGCAAAAUGCUCUGGUGAACUGGAUGGGACUAAUGGGUUGUCACAAUCCCCCCCCCCCCUGCUGCCUAAUGAGGCCAAAGAAGUUCUCCAGAGGAUCUUGGUUGAGA